CCCCUCUCAAGGUUGCACCUGGAGAGUUUUCAGUCCCCUACCAGUCUCAACUACAGGAGGGAGAGACUAGCAGAGGUCUACCCAUUCCAUUCCUAGCUUGGGCAGUGGCUAGCGAGUGGAAGGCAACCAGCUACAAGU